rnacentral:lncRNA from 1 species
CCUUACUGGAACCAAACAAGCAACUAGGUGACCUUCUGGACACCAGCUCUGAUGUCAGUUAUGUGUAAAGCCAGGCAGAUGGGUCCAGAUAGUCCUGGAGAUUUCCACCUACUGAAAUGUUUCCAUACUUAAUUUCUACUCAGAGAACCUGAAGUCACUUCUAACAGUAUCUCUCAAGACCGAUACAGUUGAGCUCCAUCUGCCCUUCUAACAUCGGCGGCCUGGCAACAGUGUCUUGCUAAGCUGGGAAACAUGGUAUGGUGAGAAGGUCUCUAACUUCGGUCAAGACUCAGUUCUGCCACUCUCCACAAUGACUCUGGGCAAGGUGCUUCAGAGCACUAUCCCAGCAUGGCCUUGUCCUGGACUGCAUGGGGUUCAUUCUUCAUCCUCAAUGGUCAGGAGCCACUUCCAACAGGUGCCCAGGGAGGACAAAGGAUCCAGGUAUGCUUGUCUAGUUCAGGUUUGAGGUUAUCAGUUAUUUCUUUGUAGCUUCUUUUAUUGAAGCAGGUCUGCCCAGCCUCUGCCUGCCUGCAGGAACUUAGAGACACACUAGCACUCUAUGGACGAGCAAAGACCAAAGUCAGGAGCAGAUCUUCAUCAAAUGGUGAGGAUUCCAUCUCAUCAGCCAGAGCAGUCAUCAACGAAGCCAAGGACAGCUCUCACAAGUUGUCCUUGAACCUCCACACACGGGCAUAUAUAUGACUAAAUUUAAUUUGUUAAAGCCAAAUUUUUUUAAAAAUUAAAAAAAAAACAAGCAAAAUUGUGGAGACUUUAUAAUUUAUGUUUAAUGCCAAGAAUGCCUCAUGCCAGAUAGUCGUCAGAACUUUCAUACAUUGCCACAGCUAAUGACCACCAUAACCAUGU